GAUGAAGAACGUAGCAAAAUGCGAUAAGUAAUGUGAAUUGCAGAAUUCAGUGAGUCAUCGAAUCUUUGAACGCACAUUGCGCCCGCCAGUAUUCUGGCGGGCAUGCCUGUUCGAGCGUCAUUUCAACCCUCAAGCACAGCUUGGUGUUGGGACUCGCGUUAAUUCGCGUUCCCCAAAUUGAUUGGCGGUCACGUCGAGCUUCCAUAGCGUAGUAGUAAAACCCUCGUUACUGGUAAUCGUCGCGGCCACGCCGUUAAACCCCAACUUCUGAAUGUUGACCUCGGAUCAGGUAGGAAUACCCGCUGAACUUAAGCAUAUCAAUAAGCGGAGGA
rnacentral:misc_RNA from 1 species